AUUUGCACAGUUUGAUGCGUUGCAUUUGUACGCUUAGAUUAUGACUAUUUUGAGAUAUUUAUACGUUUUGCGUCCUUGAAAUUCUUAUCUUAAGUGCAAAGCUGUAUGUUUCUAUUUUGAUUCGGCAUAUUCGAUAAAACCAAACAACAAUCAGACUCAAAAGGACCAUAAUUUUAUUCUGCGACACAAAUUAUUCUAUAUAUGUUAUUGCAAUUUUUGGAAAUCGUUUAUCGAAAGUGAAAGUACAAGUUUUUAUUACCAUAAGUUGAACAGAAAUGUGCUUGUACCUGCAGCCUUCCAAUAUUCAUUAUAGUCAGGAUUCCAUUUCAAAUACAUUUGGAAAGUCAACAGUUCAUUCGGAUAAAUACAUCGGUGAAACAUUAGAUGAUCUUAUAGAAGGAACAAUAAAGGUAAACAAUAUACCAAACAUUAGUGUGUUUAUGCACAAUAAUAAAUUGUUCACUACAGACAAUCGCAGGUUGUGGGUGUUCCGAAAGGCGGAAGAACUUGGAAUAUUACGUUCUAUUCCAGUUUAUCAAAACUUGUGUAUAGUUUCAUCUAAACUAACUACAACAAAUGGUGGAUUAAGUGUACGCGUAAGGAGAAAUAACCCGGGUGGACAGACAUGGCGUCGUCUUAGUAUGGAACGGGUUAGAAACCAAUUUCAAAACAAUACUCAUACUUUAAGCCGAAUGAAUAUGAGUGAAAAAAAUGUUCCAAGGCUCACAAAUACAUCUACAAAAAGUUCACCAAGUUCUUAUACGAAAGUAAAUCGUCCUUAUUCAGGAUUGGUAACCAAUUCCGAUAAACCCCAACAGUCUUAUUCUAGAUUAUCAACUUAUAUCAAGGAUCCCUCAAAUCAAGAAAGGAAAAGUAGCCCAGAUUAUGACCUCAACAGAGACGAUAGGAAAAAAGACGAAUCGAGGACAUGGCGUGUCUUGCUUGGUGUUGCAGCUGUAGGCGCUCUUACCGUUUUGCUAUUGAAACUAUAAUUCGUUUGCUGUUCGUCCCUUUAUUUUUACAACUUUAAUUUUGAGGAUAUCUUGUUUAAUAAAACAUAUUCAGAACUAAAUGUAAAUAACGAAGGUAAACACCUUGACAGUAAGAUUUUCACUUUUAUUAACUCUGAAUCAUAUUAUUAAAUGUUAUCAGUUUC